ensembl:misc_RNA 7SK 7SK RNA
GGAUGUGAGGGCGAUCUGGCUGCAACAUCUGUCACCCCAUUGAUCGCCAGAGUUGAUUGGGCUGGUCUGGCUGGCUAGGCAGGUGUCUCCUUCCUCCCUCACCGCUCCAUGUGUGUCCUUCCCAAAGCUGCACGCUCAGUCAAGGAGGACGACGGCCUUCCCCGAAUAGACAGACUGGUCUUCAGUCGAGGGUAUACGAGUAGCUGCGCUCCCCUGCUAGAACCUCCAAACAAGCUCUCAAGAACUACAGGCAGCUAAAUGCCAAUUAGUUGGAGAAAUAUUAAAUAAAUGACGCUUUAAAAUUAUAUAGUGGAAUUCUAU